rnacentral:rRNA from 1 species
UACGGAGGGUGCAAGCGUUAUCCGGAAUCACUGGGUUUAAAGGGAGCGUAGGCGGCAUAAUAAGUCAGAGGUGAAAGGCUGUAGCUCAACUAUGGAACUGCCUUUGAUACUGUUAUGCUUGAAUCAAGUUGAGGUUAGCAGAAUGUGACAUGUAGCGGUGAAAUGCAUAGAUAUGUCAUAGAAUACCAAUUGCGAAGGCAGCUGGCUGGACUUGUAUUGAAGCUGAGGCUCGAAAGCGUGGGGAGCAAACAGG